UGGCUGGAGUUGGAGCAAAUGUAGUUUUGUAUCCUAAAUUUGCGACCGAAUCCAAGCCUGA
rnacentral:pre_miRNA from 1 species